rnacentral:misc_RNA from 1 species
GAUGAAGAACGUAGCGAAAUGCGAUAAGUAAUGUGAAUUGCAGAAUUCAGUGAAUCAUCGAAUCUUUGAACGCACAUUGCGCCCGCCAGUAUUCUGGCGAGCAUGCCUGUUCGAGCGUCAUUUCAACCAUCAAGCCCCAGGCUUGUGUUGGAGCUCUGCGGCUGCCGCAGCCUCCCAAAACCAGUGGCGGGCUCGCUAUCACACCGAGUGCAGUAGUUUACUCUUCGCUCAGGGCGUGUGGCGGGUGCUAGCCGUGAAACCCCCAACUUCUCAAGGUUGACCUCGGAUCAGGUAGGAAUACCCGCUGAACUUAAGCAUAUCAAUAAGCGGAGGA